rnacentral:lncRNA from 1 species
CCCUUCCCUUUCUCUUUCAAAUCCUUCAUGUUUGUUGCGCCAUGCGCCACAGGGUUGGCUGAUGCCAUCACGCUGGACGGGGAUGGCCGUGUGGCCUAGCGUCAUGCAGCAGGCUGCGCUCAUGUGCGGAGCCGCCUUGCCGGAAAGCCGUGCUGCCAGCCGCUUCUAUGCUUACUGCCUUGGCGAAGCCAGUGGCUUUGAGUUUGUUUAUGGAGAGAGCAGAGGUGUAUUUCAUCUCCAUGCUGCUCCUUUCCCCUAUUAAUUUUAUUUAGUUGAUGUGAUUUGGCUCUUGCGCUACUAGGGGAUUCCUACUAGCUAGAUAUACUUAUGCUGCUUUGAUGUGAAUUAUUUACAGAAAAAAUAUGUUUACAUCAUCAAUCGUGUGUUGCUAAUUAAGCUCUGCCUUUGUUCAUUUAAUCAAUGUGUUGUUCUACCUUCUGCUGGUUCAGAUAAAAGUGACGGUGAACAAAUCCAUGAGAAUCAUUCAUGAACUGAAUCGUCUAGUUCUAACUACCCAUAUAUUGUUUUCUAAUCCCAUUGUGUGUGGGCAACGGAGGUAGCUAUCCUUAUUGAUGUACUUUGGACCGAUCAACGUCGUUGUUGUUCACUCUACUUAUUUUCUAGCUACUUAAUUUGUGUGUGGUUGAAUCAUCAGUCUGACUUGUAUGUGCUUUGCUGCAACAAGUUGACAAAAGAAAUUAAGAAAUUUUGUUCUUUGCUAUGAUGGCAAGAUCUACCUGCUAAACUACUAGGUCAUGUUCGAUGAUCAUGCGUGCAUAUUCCUAAGUUGGUCCAAAAGGCAUGUACAAUGCAAUGUGCUAAUGCUUAUAUGUGAUUUCUUGAUGAGAGAAAAAUAAUAUAUCCACAUAUAGAGACACUAGUGGUAAAGGUGUGCAUCCUAAGAUCAUUUUUUUCAGCAAAAUAGAGUGUUGGGACACAAAAUGGUGCACCUAAGGAUUGCUGGGGCAUAUCUGUUGCCGGUGAGAAUAUAUCACUAGGGACUAUUUGAUGCUGUCAUACACAUGACAUGUAUGAUAAUGUGUUAUUCAAAUCUGGAUUAUAAACUUUUGUUCCCUCAGAAUCUACCUUCAUCGUCACCUUGUGUUUAUCCAAGUUUCUUUCUAUAAAGAACAUUUUCUGAUUUUGUGCAACAAGGGCUUAUUUUGUUGGAACAUUUAUGAUUAUAAGAAGAGAAGAGGUUUUAAUUUCUUUGAGAUUAGCUUUGAGUUUCGUAGAGAUGAGCUUCCAAUUGUCUUGAGACAGAUUUUUAUUUUUGUAUGAGGAUUAUAUUAUUUUUUAAAUGAGAUUCAAACUGUUUUGAGACGAGCAUUCAAUCUUCCUUGUGAUAUGCUUUCAGUUUUUCUUGAGAAGAGUUGUCAUUUACUUUGGGAAUAUCUUUCACUUUUUUUGAAAUGAGCUCUGAAUUUUUUACAAAUAAGGUUUCAAUUCCUCUGAGAUGAGCUUUUGAAUUACUUUGAACCGAACUUUAAAUUUCUUGGGAUUAGCUUCCAAUUUCUCUUAAAUUGCUUCCCAUCGUUUUAUGUUUUGAGAAUUUAUUUUAUUUUGUAAUUAUAUUAUUUUGACGAGAGCUUUCAUUCUUCUUGCUGAUAAGCUUUGAAUUUUCUGGAAAAUAGCUAUCAUUUGCUAUGAGAAGAGCUUUCACUUUCUUUGAAAUGAGCUUUGAAUUGUUUAUAAAUAAGGUUUCAAUUCCUUUGAGAUGAGCUUUUGAAUUACUUUGAGCCGAACUUUCAAUAUCUUGAUAUUACUGUCCACUUUCUCUUAGAUGUGCUUCCCAUCAUCUUGAGACAAGAUUUUUAUUUUUAUGAGAAUUGUAUUCUUUUGAAACUAGAUUUAUAUUUGUUUUGACAUCAGCUUUCAAUCUCCCUUAAGAUAAGCUUUCAAUUUUAUUGGCAUAAGCUUUCAGUUUAUUCAAAAGAGCUUUCAUUUCCUUUGAGAAGAGCUUUCAUUUUCUUUCAGAGCUUUGAAUUCUUCUCAAAUAAGGUUUCAAUUCCUCUGAGAUGAGCUUUUGAAUAAGUCUAAGCCGAACUUUUAAUUUUCUUGAGUUUUAGUUUCUUAGAGAUGAGCUUCCAAUUGUCUUGAGGGUAGAAUUAUAUUAUUUUGAAAUGAGAUUUAAAUUGUUUUGACAAGAGUUUUCAAUCUUCCUAGUGAUAAGCUUUCAAUUUUAUAUAGAAGAGCUUUCACUUCCAAAUUUUCAAGGUUGAACUUUUUUGUUUUUGUUUUUCUAGAUGAUUUUUACUUAAUUUUCAAUGAGGUUUUAAUUUUCAUCUUCUUCCAAUUGUUUUUGUUUUCGUAUAUAGGCAGGAAGGUUUUAAUUUUCAUCUUCUUCGAUGAGGUUUUAAUUAAUUUGAGAUGCGAUUUUAACACAAGAUUUCAAUUCCUUAGAUGGACUUAUUUUUUUCCAUUUAUAUAAAAUUUAAUUAUUCUCUGGUAUGAGCUUUUAGAUUUUUUAUAUGAGCUUUUUAGGUUUUGUGCUUCCAGUAAAUUGUUAAAGUAUCUUCAUUUAUAUAAGAAGAUCGUAUCAGACAAAUUUUUAAGUACCCUUGGAGGAGGAUUGUAAUUCUUUUUCGAUAUGAGAUUCGAGAUUCCUUGACACGAUCUUCUUAUAGAACUAAAAAUUAGAAGUUCUAUGUUCGGAUUUUAAAAGUUUGUAAAAACAUUAGUCCUUUAAAUUUUGAAUAUAUGUCACGAAAGAUAUAAGAAGUUUGAUAUAGGAGUUUUAAAAUCUCACCGAUAUGAUUUGAAAGCGGCUAGUAUUUUUGAUUGGAAGUGGUAUUCCCCACCCAUUUUAAUUCCCUGAAAACCACUCUCCCAGAAAGAGAAAAGAAAAGUAAAUAAAACCCAUCAAUAUCACGUUUCUGUACUACAAAAGAAGCAAAAAAAAAGAAAAGAGAAAAAGGCUCAAAUAAGCCCGAUAGUCAUUGGGCUACUGUCUGGCAAGGGUGCAGAGCGGUAUCAGGUAGAGAGCGGAACGAGUUCGAACGUGGGCGGGCGGUGGGACGAGGAGGAAAAAAAGGGAAAAAAGGAACGGAGACGUGAAACGGGGAC